rnacentral:rRNA from 1 species
AACGAACGCUGGCGGCAUGCCUAAAACAUGCAAGUCGAACGAGACCUUCGGGUGUAGCGGCGCACGGGUGCGUAACGCGUGGGCAUCUGCCCUUGGGUUCGGAAUAACAGUAGGACACGACUGCUAAUACCGGAUGAUUACGUACGUCCAAAGAUUUGUCGCCCAGGGAUGAGCCCGCGUAGGAGUAGCUAGUUGGUGGGGUAAAGGCUAACCAAGGCGACGAUCCUUAGCUGGUCUGAGAGGAUGAUCAGCCACACUGGGACUGAGACACGGCCCAGACUCCUACGGGAGGCAGCAGUGGGGAAUAUUGGACAAUGGGCGAAAGCCUGAUCCAGCAAUGCCGCGUGAGUGAUGAAGGCCUUAGGGUUGUAAAGCUUUUUUACCCGGGAUGAUAAUGACAGUACCGGGAGAAUAAGCCCCGGCUAACUCCGUGCCAGCCGCCGCCGUAA